UGGCGGACGGGUGAGUAACGCGUGGGUAACCUGCCUCAUACAGGGGGAUAACAGUUGGAAACGACUGCUAAUACCGCAUAAGCGCACAGGAUCGCAUGAUCCGGUGUGAAAAACUCCGGUGGUAUGAGAUGGACCCGCGUCUGAUUAGCCAGUUGGCAGGGUAACGGCCUACCAAAGCGACGAUCAGUAGCCGACCUGAGAGGGUGACCGGCCACAUUGGGACUGAGACACGGCCCAAACUCCUACGGGAGGCAGCAUG
rnacentral:rRNA from 1 species